CUAGUCUGCUUCUCUCGUAAGCAGAAACUUUUAGCUUAGAGCAUCAAACCCAUGACAUUUCGAAUCAGAAGGGCUAGGGUUUCUCUGAAACUACCCUCUCAUCCCACUCACUCCCAGUCCCAGAGACCUGCUCAGGCUAAACUGCCAUGGAUGGAGCUGAUUGGAAGCCUCAUCUUUCGCCUAAUUCACGCCAUAGGAUUGUCAACAAAAUGUAGGUAUUUUAUUUCAAUUACCAAAUGCAAAUGUUUUAAGGAUAUUGAGAAAUUUCUAGUGUUGAAACUUAAAACUGCUUUUCAAUAGGAAUUCUUGGUA